AAUCAUGGACCAUACCAUCAUGAAUGUGCCUGAUCUCAUCUGAUCUUAGAUGAGAUGAUCUUAGCUAAGCAGGGUCAAGCCUAAUUUGUACUUGUAUGAGGAGUCCUGGGAAUAUUAGGUACUGUAAGCA
rnacentral:rRNA from 1 species